GCAAGUCUGGUGCCAGCAGCCGCGGUAAUUCCAGCUCCAAUAGCGUAUAUUAAAGUUGUUGUGGUUAAAAAGCUCGUAGUUGAACCUUGGGCCUGGCUGGCCGGUCCGCCUCACCGCGUGUACUGGUCCGGCCGGGCCUUUCCCUCUGUGGAACCCCAUGCCCUUCACUGGGCGUGGCGGGGAAACAGGACUUUUACUGUGAAAAAAUUAGAGUGCUCCAGGCAGGCCUAUGCUCGAAUACAUUAGCAUGGAAUAAUAGAAUAGGACGUGUGGUUCUAUUUUGUUGGUUUCUAGGACCGCCGUAAUGAUUAAUAGGGACAGUCGGGGGCAUCAGUAUUCAAUUGUCAGAGGUGAAAUUCUUGGAUUUAUUGAAGACUAACUACUGCGAAAGCAUUUGCCAA
rnacentral:rRNA from 1 species